AUGUAAUGCAAAAAAAAUCUGGCACUAGGACUGCACUGAGUGCUCAGUGUAUACAGCCAUAUUCUAAAGACCAACUUAUUAUUUUAAGGUCGUUCUUGAAGAUGAACCCUGAAAGUUUCAUGCAAUAGUUGUAGAUAUAUGGACUUAACCAAGAUGCCUAUAAUUUUGCUUACAAUAUGACCGGGAAGAUGAGCUCGUGGGAGGCUGAGUCACGAUAAUGAAGCAUCUUUAAAGUCUGAUUUUUAUUGUAAGUAUGAAGCAGCAACACAUUCAUUUCGCCUUGGAUCAGGUUUGCUAUCAUUGUAGCACAAAUCCGCUUAUUGUUUCAUGUUUGCGAUCGUUUUAUUAUGUUAAAUUGUAUUUCUGCCAAAAGACGCUGUGUGGCACGAAGUGCUGUAAUGCAUGCAUUUAAAUGAAAGUUUUAUCUCCAAGGCUGACGUUAGCAAAAGGGAAGCAAAACUUGAACAAGAAAAUGUUAUCAGAAGGCACGCCGAACUGAAUUUAUAGCCUUUUACUAGGGAAGAAUUUAUCUUUCAAACAUUGUUCUGGGGGUUCAUUUGAAUGUAUACAUUUAUUUUCGCAUAUUGGUUACGUGACUUUCUCUCACUGUUUUCCUGAAUAGCAAAACCGUACCUUGCUUUCCAGUGUGUGUGUCCCCAUUCUUCCCCUUUGCAUUGCGUUUGCAAUGUUUAUUAUUUGUUUUUUCUGAAGCUGGUCCUAUUCGCCCCGAACCAUUCAGGCAGCAGUCGGAUAUGUAAGUGCUUUUCGCAACAAUGGCAUGUUUAAUAUCUUUAAAAGGACCUUCUUUGGAAAUAACCAUGCUCAAGACUGCUGUAUAACCUGGUUGAUGGAGCGCUUGCUUCUUGCUUAAGGAGGGAUUGCUGACUUCGGUUUGGUCUGGGACAGAACAAGCCUCUGUGCAGCUUAGAAUGGAGCUGUAAGUACUGAUACAGAGUAUAAGAUUGUGAAGAUAGGAGUUCCUUAUGGAAGGAUUUUCAGAGGUUGACAUACCGCCUAGCACCCGCACCCCCAUGCAGUAAUAGCAUCCAAAUGCCUACUGAGUCCCCUUGCUUUUUGCCUCCCCGUUUUAAAGACAAGGAUGACAGAAGCAUGGUUAGUUAGUACGAUGCCAGGAUUUCGUGACUACACAACUGCACUACCAGCCGGAUUUCUGUGAAUGGGAUUAAGCCGACACAACUAUUUGCAUGAGUGCGUGAGGAUGCACUUCCCUUUCAGCUGAGGACAAGCAGUGUGUCCAAACCUAUGUACCUCCCGUGUGUAUGCAAAUAGCCAUUCUAAAACGCUGCUCUAUGUUUUAGGAUAAACCUGCCCGAAUAAGUUGCAAGGAAUAGAAUAAAAAGGUCUACAAAAUAAGCAAUGUGGAGGUCAUGAAAAGGAUCCUGGCACUGUUCCAAAAUGUGGUGUUAAGGAUCAGGAGUUCAAUGUUUGGUCCCAUGAGGCUAGAUUGGAGAGACUGAGAGAAG